UUUCAUAGCUAAACCUAAUUGUCAAAGCCUGUACUCUUCUGAUCUCCGAAGCUAAGCAGGGCUGGGCCAGAUUUAUACUUGGAUAGAAGACUUCUGGGAAUACCAGGAGCCACAGUGGGGC
rnacentral:rRNA from 1 species